CCUACGGGACGCAGCAGUGGGGGAUAUUGCACAAUGGGGGAAACCCUGAUGCAGCGACGCCGCGUGGGCGAAGAAGUAUUUCGGUAUGUAAAGCCCUAUCAGCAGGGAAGAAGAAAUGACGGUACCUGAGUAAGAAGCACCGGCUAAAUACGUGCCAGCAGCCGCGGUAAUACGUAGGGGGCAAGCGUUAUCCGGAUUUACUGGGUGUAAAGGGAGCGUAGACGGCGAAGAAAGUCUGAAGUGAAAGCACGCGGCUUAACCGCGGAACUGCUUUGGAAACUUUUUUGCUGGAGUACCGGAGAGGG
rnacentral:rRNA from 1 species